ensembl:lncRNA
UUCAUUUUGAAGUUUGUGUAGCAGGAUGGAAAAGAUCACUAUGGGUGAUCCAGACACUCAUCCAAUGUUUAUUGAUGUGAUUACCUGGAACAGAAGGUGGUAAAGAGGGACACCAACACAUGCAACAUGUGUGAGCAAGACACUGUGAGCAAGACAAAGGAGCUGAUCGUGUAGUACAGGAAAAGGCGGGCUGAACAGGUCCUCAUUAACAUCAACGGGGCUGUAGUGGAGCGGGUCGAGAGUUUCAAGUUCCUUGGUGUCCACAUCACCAACGAACUAUCAUGGUCCAAACACACCAAGACAGUGGUGUAGAGGGCCCAACAACAUCUUUUUCCCCCUCAGGAGACUGAAAAGAUUUGGCAUGGGUCCCCAGAUCCUCAAAAGGUUCUACAGCUGUACCAUCGAGAGUAUCCUGACCGGUUGCAUCACCGCAUGGUAUGGCAACUGCUCGGCCUCCAACCGCAAGGCACUACAGAGGGUAGUGCGUACGGCCCAGUACAUCACUGGGGCCACGUUUCCUGCCAUCCAGGAUCUCUAUACUAGGCGGUGUUAGAAGAAAG